GGAGGGCUGCAAUGAUUACAUCUACAUUUGGUGGAACUUUACCUCAUGGAUGAUAUGCCAGAUGGGGAGGGCGCGCAAGGAUAGCCCCGACGGUUUCGUCACGAAGCCAGAGACACUGACCGAUGGGAUAGUGAAGCUGAUGAUUUGGCACCGCACCAUCCCCAGCAUGCAAGGGUAAGCGACCCAAGGGUUCUUAUCUGUCCACUGUUUUAUCAAAUCCCCAUGGCUUUUUCGAUUCCUUUUUGUGUGUUCAGUUUUUUCUUUGUGUGUCAUGAGUUUCAGAACUUGAUUGGGAUGGUUUUUGUGCCAUGAGAAUUAGGGUUUGAUAGGGAUGAUUUGGGUAUCAGUUCUUACGGUCACUGGAAUUUGCAUAUUGUCAUAGUCUAAUGCCAUUAAAUUUUGAGGGUAGCGAUAUUGUUUUCACCCUAUUGAAUAGGGUAUAUGAUGAUAUUGGCAAGCGCUGGAGUAGGUAAUAUUUUGUUAAAGUUUUCAUGUCGUUCCUCCACUGCCAUGGCUUGAUCUGUGAGGAUCCAUACAUGCAUAUGGUUUAUGCUUGUAAGUUUUCUUCUUCCCUUGCUUUACACAUCUGCCAUAUCAUGCUUGACAAACACAUCAGUUUUGGCCCUAAUGUUCCAGUGUGUUUUUGUGUAACUUUGUCCCUUUCUUUGUACCAAGAUUUUGUUCAUUGGGUCUGCGUGGGCUACCAGGGAUUAAGGUUAAUGAUUCAAUUAUGCUCUUUGUAUUGUGCUUAUGGUUGAGUAUGGCGUUUAACACUAACUACGAGAUAGGUCAGAACAGAAUUGGAAGACCAGCUUCUCUACACAUAUAGAUGCCAUUGUCUCGAUGGGGAGUUUAGUGAUUUCAAGGCGCUGCCUAGAGCAAGUGGAUAAUUGAGUGAUUUUCAGGAGCUCCUACACUAUCUGUAUGAACUAACUCUUUCUGAUCAUAAGUGGGAUGAUGCGAACUAUCUGGAGCCCAAACAGAUCAACAGAUCACAAAGCUAUGCCAACUCGAAACCACUGCACCACGUGGUCGAGUAUUUACAAAAGUCGUCAUCGGUUUCUGUGAGGAGUUGGAGCCGGCCGGUGACAUAUUGAGAAGAUGCUCGGCACUGCUUGCUCCAUUGCCGCAUGGAUAGCAGAAAAGGAAGGUAGAAGAUGACCACAACUAAAUCCCAUAUAUUAAGUCUAUUUAUUCCGUAAUUCUUUAUGCCAACCAAUCAGAUCGUGUCAUGUCACCUAUGUCUGUGCAACCUUACUAAUUUAUUAAACAUGUGAUCUAUUUUGCGUUAGAUAUCUUAUUUAUUCCAUUCAAAUUGUGCUAUAUUUAUAUUAAUUUUGUGUACAUAAUAAUAACAUUUUUUAUCACACCCCAUGUUUUAAAUAAUGAUUUAUUUAAAUAUUUGUUUAAUGGACAUUAAUUAGCUAGACAAUCUAAUUAA